rnacentral:rRNA from 1 species
AGGAUGAACGCUGGCGGUAUGCCUAACACAUGCAAGUCGAACGGGUGUCUUCGGACAUUAGUGGCGGACGGGUGAGUAACGCGUGAGAAUCUGCCUUCAGGAUGGGGACAACAGUUGGAAACGACUGCUAAUACCCGAUAUGACGAAAGUUGAAAGAUUUAUCGCCUGGAGAUGAGCUCGCGUCAGAUUAGCUAGUUGGUGUGGUAAUGGCGCACCAAGGCGACGAUCUGUAGCUGGUCUGAGAGGAUGAGCAGCCACACUGGGACUGAGACACGGCCCAGACUCCUACGGGAGGCAGCAGUGGGGAAUUUUCCGCAAUGGGCGCAAGCCUGACGGAGCAAUACCGCGUGAGGGAGGAAGGCUCUUGGGUCGUAAACCUCUUUCUCAGGGAAGAACAAAAUGACGGUACCUGAGGAAUCAGCAUCGGCUAACUCCGUGCCAGCAGCCGC